rnacentral:rRNA from 1 species
GAUGAACGCUGGCGGCGUGCCUAAUACAUGCAAGUCGAGCGAACAGACGAGGAGCUUGCUCCUCUGACGUUAGCGGCGGACGGGUGAGUAACACGUGGAUAACCUACCUAUAAGACUGGGAUAACUUCGGGAAACCGGAGCUAAUACCGGAUAAUAUAUUGAACCGCAUGGUUCAAUAGUGAAAGACGGUUUUGCUGUCACUUAUAGAUGGAUCCGCGCCGCAUUAGCUAGUUGGUAAGGUAACGGCUUACCAAGGCAACGAUGCGUAGCCGACCUGAGAGGGUGAUCGGCCACGCUGGAACUGAGACACGGUCCAGACUCCUACGGGAGGCAGCAGUAGGGAAUCUUCCGCAAUGGGCGAAAGCCUGACGGAGCAACGCCGCGUGAAUGAUGAAGGUCUUCGGAUCGUAAAACUCUGUUAUUAGGGAAGAACAAAUGUGUAAGUAACUAUGCACGUCUUGACGGUACCUAAUCAGAAAGCCACGGCUAACUACGUG